UACGGAGGGAGCUAGCGUUAUUCGGAAUUACUGGGCGUAAAGCGCACGUAGGCGGCUUUGUAAGUAAGAGGUGAAAGCCUGGUGCUCAACACCAGAACUGCCUUUUAGACUGCAUCGCUUGAAUCCAGGAGAGGUGAGUGGAAUUCCGAGUGUAGAGGUGAAAUUCGUAGAUAUUCGGAAGAACACCAGUGGCGAAGGACGGGUCUGCU
rnacentral:rRNA from 1 species